rnacentral:rRNA from 1 species
ACAGCCCCGUACACAAAAGCGCAUGUGCUGUGAGCUCGAUGAGUAGGGCGGGACACGUGGUAUCCUGUCUGAAUAUGGGGGGACCAUCCUCCAAGGCUAAAUACUCCUGACUGACCGAUAGUGAACCAGUACCGUGAGGGAAAGGCGAAAAGAACCCCGGCGAGGGGAGUGAAAAAGAACCUGAAACCGUGUACGUACAAGCAGUGGGAGCACCCUUUGGGGUGUGACUGCGUACCUUUUGUAUAAUGGGUCAGCGACUUAUAUUCUGUAGCAAGGUUAACCGAAUAGGGGAGCCGCAGGGAAACCGAGUCUUAACCGGGCGUUAAGUUGCAGGGUAUAGACCCGAAACCCGGUGAUCUAGCCAUGGGCAGGUUGAAGGUUGGGUAACACUAACUGGAGGACCGAACCGACUAAUGUUGAAAAAUUAGCGGAUGACCUGUGGCUGGGGGUGAAAGGCCAAUCAAACCGGGAGAUAGCUGGUUCUCCCCGAAAGCUAUUUAGGUAGCGCCUCGUGAAUUCAUCUCCGGGGGUAGAGCACUGUUUCGGCUAGGGGGCCAUCCCGGCUUACCAACCCGAUGCAAACUGCGAAUACCGGAGAAUGUUAUCACGGGAGACACACGGCGGGUGCUAACGUCCGUCGUGAAGAGGGAAACAACCCAGACCGCCAGCUAAGGUCCCAAAGUCAUGGUUAAGUGGGAAACGAUGUGGGAAGGCCCAGACAGCCAGGAUGUUGGCUUAGAAGCAGCCAUCAUUUAAAGAAAGCGUAAUAGCUCACUGGUCGAGUCGGCCUGCGCGGAAGAUGUAACGGGGCUAAACCAUGCACCGAAGCUGCGGCAGCGACGCUGAUGCGUUGUUGGGUAGGGGAGCGUUCUGUAAGCCUGUGAAGGUGGCCUGUGAGGGUUGCUGGAGGUAUCAGAAGUGCGAAUGCUGACAUAAGUAACGAUAAAGCGGGUGAAAAGCCCGCUCGCCGGAAGACCAAGGGUUCCUGUCCAACGUUAAUCGGGGCAGGGUGAGUCGACCCCUAAGGCGAGGCCGAAAGGCGUAGUCGAUGGGAAACGGGUUAAUAUUCCCGUACUUGGUGUUACUGCGAAGGGGGGACGGAGAAGGCUAUGUUGGCCGGGCGACGGUUGUCCCGGUUUAAGCGUGUAGGUGUGUGUUCCAGGUAAAUCCGGUUCACUUUAACACUGAGGCGUGACGACGAGGCACUACGGUGCUGAAGCAACAAAUGCCCUGCUUCCAGGAAAAGCCUCUAAGCAUCAGGUAACAUCAAAUCGUACCCCAAACCGACACAGGUGGUCAGGUAGAGAAUACCAAGGCGCUUGAGAGAACUCGGGUGAAGGAACUAGGCAAAAUGGUGCCGUAACUUCGGGAGAAGGCACGCUGACAUGUAGGUGAAGUGAUUUACUCA